AACAGCCUCAUCAACCGGAAGGGAUUCCUUCCGGUUGAUGAGGUGUAACAACCUCAUCAACCGGAAGGAAUCCCUUCCGGUCGGUGGUGUUGUU
rnacentral:miRNA from 1 species